AAUCGGUUUUCUGUGAACACAUUGGCGUGCCAAGUGGAGAUAGUUGUUUGGUUCCGUCAAGGGAAGUAGUAACCGGAUUUAAAUGUCUCACGCGGUUGAGGGCAUUGGUUCGAGCUAGGCUCUUCUAGAACGCAAAGCUACCAGAGUUCUAAAUCACGAACAUUUCGUGGUUGUUUGAUCGGUAAGAAUUAGUUAUUGGACGUUCCAUAACUAAUUUACAGAAGGAAGAGUUGGUGUCCGAGGCGUCCUUGGUGGCUAUAACUAGCUUAUUGGAAAAGAGGAGUUCAUCCAAUUUCGGGAUCGGUUCAAAGACGAGGAAAAUUCGUGCCUAAAGCUGAGCUCAUUCUAAUUAAUUUUUCUUAAUAUUUAUUUAACAAUUUUUAUUAUUCUGUUUUCAACUUUUAUUUUUGACGUUAUUUUUCUGUUAAUUUCAGGUUUUCAAAUUUUUAUCCCCCCAAACGUCUUGGGCACGACAGCUGCCCCGACAUAAAUCUGGUCAAGCGAGCAACAAUUUACAGUAAACCAGUCUCUGAGGGAUCAACCCUACUCCCUAUACUGCAUAAUUUGCAAACUAAGGUGUAGGUUUAUAUUGGUGGAUUCGACACCCACCAUUUUUGGCGCCGUUGUCAGGGACUGGCAACACUUACAAAUUGUUUAGAUUAUCUUCAUGACCAGAUCUUCAUUCGGAGAUCUCGAAUACGACCCAGAGAUUGAAAAAUCAGCACGAGCGCGACGUAAAGAGACGAAAGUUCUUAAACAUGUAAAAGCAAUUGAACGUGGAAAACAAGUCGAAGUGGUUGAACCUGAGACCAAACCACUUUGUGAAACAAAAGAGGUGGAAGACAACCUCGGUGAACCAGAAAGGAUGGCGAACCGAACCAUUCGUCAGCUAGCCGUAGCUCCAAACGAGCAAACACCGUUAUGCAUCAACUAUCUAGCCGGAGAAACCUCAUUCGAGUUGAAGUCAGGCCUGAUCCACCUUUUGCCCACUUUUUAAGGCUUGAAGAACGAAAAUCCACACACUCACUUGAGAGAGUUCCACAUGGUCUGCUCAAGCAUGAAACCACAGGGAGUAACCGAAGAUGAAAUCAAACUUCGGGCCUUUCCAUUUUCUUUAGUUGAUACAGCAAGAGAAUGGUUAUUUUACUUACCUCCCGGUUCUAUUACAACGUGGGAUGACUUAUCUCGUGUUUUUCUUGACAGAUUUUUCCCAGCAUUGCGAGCAGUUGAACUUAGGAGAGACAUAGUGGGAAUUCGCCAAAUAGAGAGUGAAUCGCUCUACGACUAUUGGGAGAGAUACAAAAAACUGUGUGCAAGUUGUCCUCAACACGGUUUGACCGAGCAAUCACUUCUUCAGUAUUUCUACGAGGGUUUGCUCCUUAUGGAAAUGAAAAUGAUUGACGCAGCUAGUGGAGGGGCGCUUGUCAAUAUGACUCCUCAAAGGGCAAGAUAACUGAUAUCCACCAAGGCGGCAAAUUCUUAACAGUAUCGGCCGAAUUCAGAACCCACAAGAUGGGUUAAUGGGGUAAACGUUUCAUCCCUAGAAGAUAAAUUGGAUAAGCUUACUAAUAUUGUUCAAUCUAUGCUUACAGAAAAGAAGAAUCAGACCUAACUGUGUGGAAUUUGUACUACAUCUGAACAUCCGACAGAUUUGUGCCCAAUCCUUAACGAAAAUUCAACGGCACAUGUUGAUGCUGUCGGAGGCUUUUCGGGACCUCCACAAAGACGAUAUGAUCCUUUUUCUAACACCUACAAUCCCGGGUGGAAGGAUCAUCCCAACUUGAAUUACGGAGCUAAUUUUCGAUAUAAUCCAUCAUACCAACCGAGACCUUUGCAACCACCGCAACCGCCACUCAAGCCGAGCAUAUCUCUAGAAGCUAUUAUAGAGAGACUUGCCGUCGAUGCUGCAAAAUACCAACAAAGGAAAAACGCAUCAAUACAAGAGUUAACUAAUCAAGUUAGUAAACUCUCGAUGGCAGUUAAUCGUUUGGAGUCUCAAGGUAAAUUACCUUCCCAGACAGAGCCGAAUCCUCGGCAGAAUGCAAGUACAAUAACUCUUCAUAGUGAAAAAAUUCUGGAACCAGUUCCGGACAAAAGUCUUGGGCAAGACAAGGAACGGGAAAAGCCGAUCCCUGAUCGAAAAGCCAAACCAGAAUCAGAAAUUCAGAAACCAGUUGUGGUGCCACCUCCUUUUCCAGGGAGACUCGCGAAGGAUAAGAAAUAAAAGGAGGAAAAAGAAAUCCUCGAAACGUUCAAGAAAGUGGAGGUGAAUAUCCCUUUGCUCGACGCUAUCAAACAAAUCCCUCGCUAUGCAAAAUUUCUCAAAGAAUGGUGUACUAGCAAGAGGAGGUUAUUAGGUAACGAAAGGGUAAAUGUAGGAGAAAAUGUCUCCGCAGUACUGCAAAAAAAAGUUCCGCCCAAAUACAAGGACUAAGACAGGAGUAAUAAUCCAAUUGGCGGACAGGUCAGUCGUCUAUCCCGAAGGGUUGCUUGAAUACGUCCUUGUUAAAGCCGUUCUUAAGUACCGCAAGCGCAAAAAUUGACGUUCGGAGCGGAACACUGACAAUGGAGUUUGACGGUGAAAUCGUGAAAUUCAAUGUCUACAAAGCUAUGGGUCAUCCUAACUCACUAUCAAAUAUCUCUAGCAUUGAUAUUAUAGAUUGUUUAACUCAAACUUAUUUUGAGUAUCAGGAUUUUGAUGAGUUAGAAACUAUCCUUUACAGAAGCAUUGACAUGGAUGUUUUAAGUCGCAUCGAUGAAUUAUCAAUUAUAAAAGAUCCGUUACGAGAAAUUGUCAACCACUUAAAGACUCAACCAUCGUCGACGAAUCGAGGUAACCAAUUUGAACUAUUACCUUCCCAAACUAAAAUGUUGCCUUCGAUUUUGCAGCCACCAACCUUGGAGCUUAAAGCAUUAUCGGACCACUUCAAGUACGUCUUUUUGGGAGAGAAAGACACUUUACCGGUGAUAGUGUCAAACAAACUAACCAAAGACGAGGAGGAAAGUCUAGUUCAAGUUCUGAGGGAUUGUAAGGAGGCUAUUGGUUGGACAAUAGCCGACAUAAAAUGGCUAAGUCCAUCCACCUGUAUGCACAGAAUUUCCAUCGAAGAUAACACGAAACCAAAAAGAGAUGCUCAGAGGCGCUUUAAUCCACCCAUGAUGGAGGUAGUGAAGAAAGAAAUCCAGAAAUUGUUGGAUGCUGGAAUGAUAUACCCGAUCUCCGACAGUGAUUGGGUUAGCCCGAUUCAUGUCGUGCCCAAGAAAACUGGCGUGACAGUGGUGAAAAUUUCAUCAGGAGAGCUAGUUCCUACCCAAGUCCAGAAUGGAUAGAGGGUUUGCAUCGAUUAUAGGAAGUUGAACGCAGCUACUCGAAAAGACCAUUUUCCACUUCCAUUCAUCGAUCAAAUGCUCGAGCGAUUAGCUGGUAAAACUCAUUAUUGUUGUCUCGAUGGAUAUUCAGGAUUUUUCCAAAUUCCGGUGGCGCCUGAGGAUCAAGACAAAACAACUUUCACUUGCCCCUUUGGAACGUUUGCGUAUAGACGAAUGCCGUUUGGAUUCUGUAAUGCUCCGGCCAUCUUCUAGAGAUGCAUGGUAAGCAUAUUCUCCGAUUAUGUCGAGAAAAUCAUUGAAGUCUUUAUGGAGGAUUUCACGGUGUAUGGUAACUCUUUUAACGAAUGUCUCGAUAAUCUUGCCAAGAUAUUACAAAGAUUCCCAGAAUUUAAUCUUAUUUUAAAUUAUGAAAAACGCCACUUCAUGGUUGACAAAUGGUUAAUUUUGGGUCAUAUAGUUUCCUCAGAAGGUAUUGAGGUCGAUAAAGCAAAAACGGAUAUUAUUAACUCACUACUAUACCCCACAUCUGUGAGGGAAAUUCGUUCGUUUCUUGGCCAUGCAGGAUUUUACAGACGAUUCAUAAAAGACUUCUUGAAGAUCGCGCAACCGCUCUGCAGUCCGUUACAGAAGGAUAAAGAAUUUAAAUUUGACCAAACUUAUAAAGAUGCAUUUGACGUACUGAAGUAAAAAUUGGUCUCCACCCCCAUAGUGCAACCACCGAAUUGGAACUUCCCGUUUGAAAUCAUGUGUGAUGCAAGUGAUCAAAGUGUAGGAGCUAUUCUUGGCCAAAGAAUAGGGAAAGAGCCUCAUGUUAUCUACUACGCUUCGAAAACUUUGGAUACUGCCCAAAGCAAUUACACAAACACUGAGAAAGAAUUAUUAGCUGUUGUGUUUGCUUUAGAUAAAUUUAGAUCUUACAUGUUGGGAACUAAAGUGAUUAUCUUUUCUGAUCAUGCAGCUUUGAAAUAUUUGAUAGGGAAGAAGGAGGCAAAACCUCGACUAAUUAGGUGGAUUCUACUUUUGCAAGAAUUUGAUUUUGAAAUCCAGGAUAAGAAGGGAUGCGAAAACUUAGUAGCUGACUAUCUGAGUCGAUUACCGAUUCCAGCAGAUGACACACAAUUGAAAGGCAACUUCCCAGAUGAAAACCUGUUUUCAGCAAAUGCGGUUUAUCCUUGGUACGCAGACAUAGUAAACUAUCUCGUCACAGGUACUAUACCUUCAGAAUUACCAAGGUCCAGAAAAGAUAAGAUUAAAAAAGAUGCUCGAUAUUACAUGUGGGACGAUCCUUACCUAUGGAAGCAUUGCUCCGAUCAGGUAAUUCGACGGUGUGUAGCAGAAAUAGAGGUACAGUCUAUCUUAACUUUUUGUCAUUCUUAUGCAUGUGGAGGACACUUUGGACUUAAACGCACCGCACAUAAAAUUCUUGAGUGUGGACUAUUUUGGCCAAGUAUAUUUCGUGAUGCCUUUUUAUUCUGUAAAACCUGUGAAAAAUGCCAAAAAGUCGGUAAUCUUAGCCGUCGAAAUGAAAUGAGUCUGCCUAGGUGGCGUUGGACCAUGUUAGUUAGCCAGUGGACGGAAGGAUAGUAAGUCAUAUGAGAUUAUGAUAAGGAAAGAGUUCGCCAUGGACUAUUCUAAUCUAGAAUGAUUGCCAAGGGAAAUAUCCUCAAGAACUUUUGGGCAGGUAGGCUUAAGGAACUACCUUAUAAGUACAUGAUGGAAAGAUGAAUACACAUUGAGUAUAAGUAAAAGAAAGGAUAGAAUCCAGACAUUGGGAGAAACAAUCAAGGAAGGAUGAUAGAAUUACUGGUAAGUAAUUACUCAGCUAUCUAUCUGCCAACGGAUAGGAACGGGAAUAAAAUAAAUACCGCACUGAUGGAUUAAGAGACAUUUUCCCAAAACGAGCAAAUUGUGAACUAAGGAACUCGGGAAGGAGCCAAGCCAAAUCGGAUGGAAUCGUGGAUUCAAUGGAGUAGAGCCAUGCACAAGACGAGGGUAGCUUUAGAGACUUUACCAAGAGGACAAAUAUGUUGUAACUAGAUAGCUUCUUUAGAGACUAGAUUUAAGACAGUAAAUCUUUACUUUAAACGUUAUAGACUAUUGUACAAGCUUUUAAGUAAA